rnacentral:tRNA from 1 species
GGGGAUAUGGCUCAGUGAUAGAGAAAUUGCCUAGCAUGCAUAAAGCCUGGGUUCAAUCCCCAGCAUCACAA